UACGUAGGGGGCAAGCGUUGUCCGGAUUUAUUGGGCGUAAAGAGCGUGUAGGCGGUUAUACAGGUCCGCUGUGAAAACUGGAGGCUUAACCUCCAGACGUCGGUGGAAACCGUAUAACUAGAGUCCGGAAGAGGCGAGUGGAAUUCCUGGUGUAGCGGUGAAAUGCGCAGAUAUCAGGAGGAACACCAAUGGCGAAGGCAGCUCGCUGGGACGU
rnacentral:rRNA from 1 species